AUGCACAACAUUGUGCAUAUCGACGAAAAAUGGUUCUAUAUGAAAAAGAAAAACAGAAACUAUUAUCUGCUCGAUGAGGAAGAAGAGCCUACGAGAAGUAUACGAAGUGGCAGUUGUAUUGGAAAGAUCAUGUUCUUGACAGCCGUUGCUAGGCUAAGGUGGCACAAUGAAGGAAAUGUGACCUUCUCUGGGAAAAUUGGUAUUUGGCCGUUUGUGAAAGAAGUUCCCGCUCAGAGGAGAAGCGACAACAGGCCCAGAGGAACAAUGGAGAACAAGUCCAUAAAAGUCAAUCAGCAAAUAAUGAGAGAGUUCAUGAUAGAGAACCUACUGCCAACAAUACAAGCAGCUUGGCCUGAGAAUGAUGCUGGACAAACCAUCUACAUACAACAAGACAACGCUAAGCCCCAUAUCUUGCCUAAUGACCCAGAAUUUGUAGCAGUUGUCGAAAGAACUAGACUGGACAUCAAAAUAAUCCAACAACCUGCCAAUAGCCCUAAUUUGAAUGGGCUUGACCUUGGGCUCUUCAAUUCGUUGCAAUCUCCAACAGAUUGUCUAAGCCCUAGAACACUUCAAGAUCUGAUCAAGGGUGUACUAGAUGAAUUUGAAAACUAUGAGGUUUAUAAGCUGAACAGAGUUUUCUUAUCUCUACAAGCUUGCAUGAUUGAAAUUUUGAACCACGCAGGGGGAAAUGGGUAUAAGAUACCACAUGUCAACAAAGAAAGGCUUGAGAACUCUGGAUGCUUGAGAUGCUUGUGA
rnacentral:rRNA from 1 species